UGAUCUCAGCAUCAGUCUCUCUCUACCUCUGGAGGUGGAAUAUCAGGAGAAAAACAGCUACAGCUGUGUGAUCAACAAUCCCAUCACAAACCAGACCACACAUCUGGAUAUCACUCAACUGUGUCAGAUUCAAUCAGAUCAGGGUUUACCUUUAUUGUACAUAAUGCUGAUUUCUGCUGCUGGUGCUGCUGGAUCUCUGAUUGUAGUUGUGAUGUGCUGCAUCUGCAAAAAAUACAGAAAAACAGUCUUGACAGGACAGGAAGACAGAACUCUUUCAGCGUUGUGUAAACCAACAGGAAGAACGACAAAGAUAGAAGCUGUGUAUGAAAAUGUCCCCAAAAAAAUGAUCAGAUGACUGGAACUGAUGAUGAUUCAUACAGGACAAAACCUCACACACACCUUUUGGUUUUGUUCAUAUUUAUUCCCUUUCUUGUCUCUGUUUUGUUUCCACUUGUUAUAUCCUAUUCUCAGGUGUAACACUGAUGUCUGGAUUUUAAUUUAAUGGUCCAUCAAUAGAAUAUCAUUCAGAAUGGCAAACGUUUCAGUCAACAAGACUUCCUUCUGUGCCUAGUCAACAAGAUUAUGACUUCUACUGCUUACAAACAGUUUAGACAAAGCACUGAUUUUCACAGUCACUCUUCAGACAAAGCUACAAGAGUCUCAUGGAUGAUCUUGUACAUCUUGAAAAACAUCAUAUAACCCACACCUUGGUCCAUAUAUGUCUUAUUCUUCAUUAAUUUAUAAACAAAUCAUGUUUCAAUGCAUGUUUACUGAUCAUAGAGAAGGGAAAUGAGUUUAAAGCA